rnacentral:rRNA from 1 species
GAUGAACGCUGGCGGCGUGCCUAAUACAUGCCAGUCGAGCGAACAGAUGAGGAGCUUGCUCCUCUGACGUUAGCGGCGGACGGGUGAGUAACACGUGGAUAACCUACCUAUAAGACUGGGAUAACUUCGGGAAACCGGAGCUAAUACCGGAUAAUAUAUUGAACCGCAUGGUUCAAUAGUGAAAGACGGUUUUGCUGUCACUUAUAGAUGGAUCCGCGCCGCAUUAGCUAGUUGGUAAGGUAACGGCUUACCAAGGCAACGAUGCGUAGCCGACCUGAGAGGGUGAUCGGCCACACUGGAACUGAGACACGGUCCAGACUCCUACGGGAGGCAGCAGUAGGGAAUCUUCCGCAAUGGGCGAAAGCCUGACGGAACAACGCCGCGUGAGUGAUGAAGGUCUUCGGAUCGUAAAACUCUGUUAUUAGGGAAGAACAAAUGUGUAAGUAACUAUGCACGUCUUGACGGUACCUAAUCAGAAAGCCACGGCUAACUACGUG